CCUACGGGAGGCAGCAGUAGGGAAUAUUGCUCAAUGGGGGAAACCCUGAAGCAGCAACGCCGCGUGGAGGAUGAAGGUUUUCGGAUUGUAAACUCCUUUUGUUAGAGAAGAUAAUGACGGUAUCUAACGAAUAAGCACCGGCUAACUCCGUGCCAGCAGCCGCGGUAAUACGGAGGGUGCAAGCGUUACUCGGAAUCACUGGGCGUAAAGAGCGCGUAGGCGGGAUAGCAAGGCAGAUGUGAAAUCCUAGGGCUUAACCAUAGAACUGCAUUUGAAACUGUUAUUCUAGAGUAUGGGAGAGGUAGGUGGAAUUCUUGGUGUAGGGGUAAAAUCCGUAGAGAUCAAGAGGAAUACUCAUUGCGAAGGCGACCUGCUAGAACAUAACUGACGCUGAUGCGCGAAAGCGUGGGGAGCAAACAGGAUUAGAUACCCCAGUAGUC
rnacentral:rRNA from 1 species